rnacentral:rRNA from 1 species
GAAAUGCGAUACUUGGUGUGAAUUGCAGAAUCCCGUGAACCAUCGAGUCUUUGAACGCAAGUUGCGCCCGAAGCCAUUAGGCCGAGGGCACGUCUGCCUGGGUGUCACGCAACGUCGCCACCGCCCAUCCCACGGGCGCGGCGGAUGAUGGCUUCCCGGGAGCC